UGGGUUGUGUGUCCCCCAGCCUGGGAGAGUGAUGCUAGGCACUUGGGCUGGUUGCUCAGGGCCAGAGGAGGUGCUGAGCCCCAUGUGUGGGCCCUGGGGCUGGUGGAAAGCUCUUCCCUCUCCCUGCAGCGCCCUGCUACCCAGAGCUUGUCCCUGUUUCUCUAGUCUCCUUGGUGACAAUCUCAUCGCUCCUCGGCUUCUCUCCAGCACCUGAAAAUAGCUGCCGAAAGUGGAGAUGCCUGCUCCCUUCCCUGCUGCCAGCACCCGGCAGUGGCCAGGCUGGAGCCAGGCUGCCCAGCGCAGCUGUAAGGGAUCAGCCCCAUCCCAUCCUCUGCACCGUGGUGGGGCAAGGGCCACCUGGGACUGUGUCCUGGUGUCACCCCAGCACUGAGACCCUGACUCAUCCCUCUGCUUCCUCCUUGCCUUGGGGUAGCACCAGGGGACAGGAGCUUCCCUUGCACCCCACCACAACCCAGGGUCCAGCUGUCCCCCAGGAGUCAGCCAGAGCUACUCUGUCCCCUUGGCCCAGCAGCCACCAGCCCACUCGCCCGUGUCUGCUCCUGGGCCGGCACGGCAGCCAGCCAAGCGGUUAUUUGAACCUUCCUGAAAUAGCAAUGGAACCUGGAGCAAGCGGAGGGAGGGCAGGAGGGGCUGGCCCAGUGGUUGAGGAAGGAGGUUCCCCAGCAGCCACGGGCUGACCCUGCCAUGAGACCCCAGAUGGCCGGGGCUGGCAGGACUGCAGGCAGGGCCAUGGCAGCUUGCAGGGAGAAAAGGGUCUCAAGCUGCUCUGCCUGCUGCCCAGCCUGGGGAUGGACCAUGCCUUCCAGCAUCCCCCGGGGAAGUGGGGGCAUGUUGUGCCCCUUCACCUAAUCCUGCUGCAGGAUGGGGUGGUGGUAGCACCUGGGUGGACAGGGCUGCAUUGUGGCAGGUGCUGAGCACCGCUCCUGGAGGAUGGGGGAUUUCUGCCCCCUGCCUUCCCUCCAUCACCCCCUCCCUCAUGUCCCCAGUGCUGUGCCCAGGGCCGUCCCCUCCAGCCCAGUGCUGUGAGGUCACGGGGUGGCGCAGUGGCUGCGGGUGCUGCAUGGCCGUGGCAGUGGUGGCGGCGGUGUGUGCAUUCCCCCCCCCGCGGCAGUGGCGGGGGCAUGGCUGGCAUUGCUCACUGACACCCUAUCUGCCAGGCCCCCACCAGCCACUGGCCCAGAAUAGCAGCGCUGCCCCGCAGUCAGCAUGGAGCGACUCUCCAGCCCCGCCGCGUCCCAGGUACCGUCGGGCCGGGUGGGGGGCUCGGCUCAACAGCCCCCCGCUUGAGGACAGGCCACCUCCCGGGGUGGGGAGAUAUGGGGGGCUGGCAGUCUCCUUCCCAUGGGCAGGCAGCCUUUACGACAAGGAUGUGGAGCACAGCAUGGCCCACCCGCCUGCCCUGGUUGUCUCAGCCCCUUGGGAAGGGUUGGGGGACUCUGGCAUAGGGUUGACUCUUUGCUGGGGUUGGCUCUAGGCUCCCCAGGGAUAACUCCCUGUGCCUUUGUUGUUGGAGGGUGGCUUCUAAACAUUGCCUCUACUGGCGGGUUUGUGGCCACGAUUGCUCUUCCUGCCAUGCAUGCUGCUUUGUUAUGGGAGGGUCUCCUGGGGACCUGCCGGGUAUGGGUCAGCUGGUUGGCUGUGCUCGCCUCCCUCCUGCAUAGGGCUGCCCCCCACUUUGUUAUUGUAGGGUCUCCUGGGGCAGACCUGGUCCCUGGGGGGCUGGUGGGGCUCCCAGCACGGGAGGAAGCAGGACCAGGAUUUACACCUUGGUGCUGGGAGAAGGAGAGGAUGAACAUGGAGCUGCCAUGGGACAUGCUGUGCUCUGGCAGGGGAGAGAGUAGCCAGGGGUUUCUUCUGUCCCUUGCCCUCACCCUGAGACCCCCUCUGUACCCCCAGGUUGGGGGUAUAAGCUGGGCAUCCUGGGCUAGAGACACCACAGGGGCAGCAGGCUCUGGGGGUCCUGGGCCAGUGGGGCGCUCUCUAGGGGAGUUAGGGACUGAGCCCAGCCUGCAUCCCCACCCUGAAAGGACAGUCCACUUUACCUGGCAGGGUGAGCUGGGGCAGCCGGGUGGGUGCAGGCAGCACCCAUGGGUGUGGGAGAGGCUGGUCUGGCUCCUGCUGAACCCCAUUGCUGUGUGCCCCCUCAGGUGGCGCUGCUGGAUGCCACUGCCCGCCCCGAGGAGGAAGGGUUCUCAGGGACCCUGUGCUCCAGGGAGGUGGAGGAGGAGGGAGAGGAAGAGGAAGAGGACAGCCAGAGGAGCCCACGACCUGUCACCUUCACACUGGGAAACGAGCUAUUGGGGCUGGGCCCAGAGAGUGACUUUCAGAGCCCUGAUGCCGAGAUCUACAUGCACUUCAUGAGGAGCCACUGCUGCUAUGACACCAUCCCCACCAGCUGCAAGCUUGUUGUCUUCGACAUCUCCCUGGAGAUCAAGAAAGCUUUUGUGGCACUGGUGGCCAACGGGGUGCGUGCUGCCCCGCUCUGGGACAGCAAGACACAGAGCUUUGUUGGAAUGCUCACCAUCACUGACUUCAUCAACAUCCUCCACCGCUACUACCGCUCGCCCUUGGUUCAGAUCUAUGAGGUGGAGGAACACAAGAUUGAGACCUGGAGAGAGGUGUACCUGCAGGGCUCCUUCAAGCCAUUGGUGUACAUCUCACCGAGCCAUAGCCUCUUCGAUGCUGUCUACUCCCUGAUCAAGCACAAGAUCCACCGCCUGCCCAUCAUCGAGCCUGUCUCAGGCAACGUCCUGCACAUUCUGACGCACAAGCGCAUCCUCAAGUUUCUUCACAUCUUUGGCUCCACCAUCCCUAAGCCACGCUUCCUGAAGAAAACGGUGCAGGAGCUGUGUAUAGGCACCUUCCGUGAUGUUGCUGUUGUGCUGGAAACUGCCCCCGUCUACACUGCCCUGGAGAUCUUCGUGGACCGCCGUGUUUCUGCCCUGCCCGUCGUCAACGAUGCUGGUACCUGGGGAGGCAACCAGCUACACCCCUCAUUUCCCUCUGCCAGCCACUCCAGCUCCAUCCACACCCAGAUCCCCACCCCUGCUAGCCUGGCCCUUGGGGUGCAGGGGGAGCAUGGUAGGUGGUCCCCGGGUUGCCCUCUCCAGCCCCUGCAUUGUCUCUGCUUGCAGGACAAGUGGUUGGCCUCUACUCCCGGUUUGAUGUCAUUCACCUGGCAGCUCAGAAGACCUACAACAACCUGGACAUCAGCGUGCGGGAGGCGCUGCGGCAGCGAACUGUCUGCCUGGAGGGGGUCCUCACCUGCUACCCCCAUGAAACCAUGGAGGACAUCAUCGACCGCAUCGCCAAGGAGCAGGUCCAUCGCCUGGUUUUGGUGGAUGAGAACCAGUACCCGCGGGGCAUCGUUUCCCUCUCUGACAUCCUCCAGGCCCUUGUGCUCACUCCUGCAGGUAUCGAUGCUCUUAACUCUUAGCCCGCAACGCACCGUCUUUCUCCACUUGCAUCCUUCAUUUCUCUCCACUUCAGGUAGGCGCUGUCCCCUGCCACUGUGUGCCUGUCCCCUCCCUGCCAUUGGGUCACCCACACCUUGUCACCUCCCUGCUCAGGCCACCUGCCUGCACACCAGCCAAACCUCCCCUUGGGGACAGGGGAGGCUGGGGCUGGGGUCCAGCAGCGCUGGGUGCCUGGGUGGGGACAGCAGGACCCAGAUGAUGCUUGUCCCUGGGGACACAAGGAUCACAGAGGAUCCAUUCUGAGGUCCUGAUCCCUCGUGUCUGUGAGGAAGGAUGGGGCCACCUGCCAAGGAGACAUCCCCAGACCCCCAUCCAGGCAGCAUGUGAGAUGCAGGUUUUGCAGUUCCCUGGGCUUUGGGCUGGAUGAGGGUUUUGGAGUGUGAUACACCCCAAGAUGUGAUGCACCCUUUUUUUGACCUUGCCUCAAAGCCCCCCCUGAGACCUGUGCUCCUCCAGUGCCAUUCCUGGGGAACACACAUGGGACAGACACCCAGUUGCACAUCCGAGAUGUGCCAUCCAUCACCAGCCACAUGCACCAUGUCGCUGAGCCAUGGGCCAUGGCUGGCAGAGCCUACUGCCCCCCCGGCCCCAGUGGCCCUGGCCACUGAGCCUCUGGCACCUGCGGUGGCCAUGGCCACUGAGCCUCUGGCACCUGCGGUGGCCCCAAAACCACCUGCUUCAGGGAUGGGGCUCACUCACAGGCUGAGCUGGGACCGUGCUGCCCGGCUGCCUGCACUUGGCUCCCCUCGCCCAUUGCCCGGCAUCGACCGAUCCUUGUUCUGAAGACACCAGGGAAGUGCCAUCUCUGACUCAGGGGUCUCUUGCAUGGCUGUGGAAGGAGGCCUGGGCUCCAGAGGCUCUCCACAGGGAGGACCUGCCUGCCCAUCCUGGUCCUGGG